AGCGCGCGCCGGAUGGGUUCCAUCCCGCUCCGGCCAAGUCCCAUCCCGCUCCAGCCAACACUCGCCUUUUUUACGGCUCUCUGGCUGAAGUGCAGGCCCCAGCGGGCGCCGUGAGAGGGCGCAGGGCACGUGACGGAGGCGGUCAAAGCACUGCGGAGCCGCGCCGCCACGAGGCCGCAGCGACCCGGGAGCCCGCCCGCUUCCGUCCCGCACGUCAGCAACUGAGCAACAUGAUAAGAGGGUCUGGCCUAAAGUGGUGCUUCCAGGUUUCCAGAGCUGCUUAUGGAUUUAUGUUUCAAGAUUAAGAAGUCCACUUGCCUACAGAUUCAAGCACAUUCUGCCAUAUCAGCUUUAACAGUAAUAAAGACUCCUGUUCAUCAAGCCAGAGGAAACCUGCUUUAUAUAGGAAGGGAGAUCCAGGGCCUGGAAGGAAUAAAAAUGGCCAGUGAUGA